AGCACACGCUCUUAAUAGCUAGAAAUAUUGCUAACAGUUUUGCAAUCCUAGAAACUUAAAAAUGAAAUGAAUAUUUUGGUAACUAGUAUUUUUAUUGCUAAUAUAAAGAAUGUACAGCCAAUUAAUCUGUAUUCUUGACUCUAAUUUGAUUAUAUUAAAAACUGGCCUGCUGCAAACCCGGAUACCUACUGCUCGGAUUCUAAUGGUAAUAAUGUGAUGAAUUAGACAGUUGACAGUGUUAUUUGAUUAUAUUCGUACCCGUGGGCAGUCGUCCCUCAUCGGCAGUGCUCAAUGCAAUGGCAAAUUGGGCAGCAUAAUAGGUUAUCAUGACUUGUAGCCGAGGAGAGGGCAGACGUACUUUCAAUAUAUAGAUCACUGCAGUGAGCGCCUCGGAUGCGAUAAACAGAGCAGCGCCUACGGCAGCCAAGAAGGUCAGGAAACUCUUGACAUGCAGGGCAAGUACCAAUGAACGCCAGAACAUGAUGGUUAUCAGCGUAUAAUAGAUGGACAAACCGAUUAGUUGCAUCGUACUCAAAUGCCCAACCAUGAAAAAAAUCGAACCGAUGGCCGGUAUAUAAAGACAGAUUCCAAGAACAAUCUUCAGCGGAUGCCAGCCAAAAGCGCACAUAUAACAAAUGUGUGUCGCACCCAAACAGGUCAUGCCCAAGGUCAAUAACAUCAAAUUGUACAUGACAUCAGCAGCGCAGGAAAACAUUAAGCCGAUUAAAAUCAAUUGGGAUCGUCGGUAGUGCGUUUUGAUCGCAAACGCCUUGAUCGAAACAUAAAACAUCAAUGCCACUAUGGGCAAGCAUCGUAGCGCAGUUGUCCAUAGUUCCCACACAUGAUCUUGACGCACCAGCGUAAAAUAUAGUACCAAACUUAUAUAAAACGGGACGAGCUUUACGAAUUCAAUAGCGAUGAAACGCAAGUUGUGGUACAUGAUUAUUAUUUUCGCCAGAGCUCAAGAAAGCUGCCGUUUACAGAAAAAAGAAUGCGUAAAUUUAAUAAAAACAAUCAGUCAUUGGAUCAAUUGCAUUAAGGAAAGGAUUACCUUUCUAAUUGGGCAUUACGUAGUCAUUGUGUGGCAGCCAGCCAAAACGAAUCAAGAGUUUUGAAAUUUCGGAAUUUAUUAUUACAAUGGAGACUUUCUGUUUGUUUUUUGCUAGUUUUUUCGAAAUAUUAUGAAAGUUCAAAAUUGAAAAGGUACAGGCUCAGCAUCAUAUAGAUACAUAAGGCAUUAAUCAAGGCAUGGCUCGUCAAAAACACGGCUAAACGGCUGAAAACCCCACAACCCUAACAUCGCGACAUUCUAAAUGGUGGGAGAGUUUAUCAUUGGGCUGUCAUAGAAAAUCUUAAAAAAAAACUGACCUACUCUGUGAAAAAUCAAUAAUUAAUUGGCCACACUAGCUCUAUGAAGCUGAAACAUACAUAUAUGAAACCAGCUAUAAAUGGGGCGGUUUCUUAUAGUACAAGUUCAAUAAUAAAAAGUGAAGUGGAUACCUUGGAUCACAUUUGUAGCAAUGGCUACGGAAAGAAGUUUGCCAGCACGUUGCGAGGCGUUAAAAAUUUAAAUUUUGAAAUAUAUUUAUUUGGAUUUACUUGCACGAAAUAUCUGUGUAUAAGUGAGAAAAAUGCAAAGAAUUUGUC